UACAGAGGUCUCAAGCGUUGUUCGGAUUCAUUGGGCGUAAAGGGUGUGUAGGUGGCGCCGUAAGUCAGGUGUGAAAUCUCGGGGCUUAACUCCGAAACUGCAUUCGAUACUGCGGUGCUUGAGGACUGGAGAGGAGACUGGAAUUCAUGGUGUAGCAGUGAAAUGCGUAGAGAUCAUGAGGAAGACCAGUGGCGAAGGCGGGUCUCUGGACAGUUCCUGACACUGAGGCACGAAGGCCAGGGGAGCAAACGGG
rnacentral:rRNA from 1 species